AGGAGCGUCGUUAAAUUGGGUAUGACACGGGACUUUGAUUCCCGGAUUGUAGGUUCGAGUCCUACCGCUCCUG
rnacentral:tRNA from 1 species